rnacentral:misc_RNA from 1 species
GGGCUUGUUCGGGUAACACGUCGGUCUUCGGGCGGCUCCUCCUGGAGGUGUCGCCCGCGGGUCGUGUGUUUCUCGUCUCGCCUUGGGACGGCGCGUGAGUGGCCGCUAGGACACGAUCCCAGGGCAGGCUCCGAGCUUCCUGCACCGAACUGCCCUGGUCUGUCCGUUUCAUUUGUUGGCUCGCCCCGGCCCCUUCGGCCUCGGUUGCGGCUUCCCGAUGGGUUCUUGUGCUCGAUACCCGUGCGCGGUAGUUGGGUGGAUUAGUGUCCCCCCGGUCUUGGUUCCCUCGAUCCGCCUUCUUCCCUCGGGAGUUGGUGGGACAUCGUGCGGGCAUCCGACGUUGUCCUUCGGKAAAGUCGACCCCGUUCGCGGGCCCUUCUUCUCUCGUUGGCGCGUUGUUGCUGCCGGGCAUGCUCUCGGGUGCGGUGUUUUCGCUCGCUGUCCCGUCGGUCCUCGUCGGCCGCGGGCAGCGAUCUCGUCCCGUCGAAGCGUUCGCGCUUCUCCUCGCGCGACUCUCGUGCUCGUCCAAGGGCUCGCGGGGCUUCCCCGCCUCGCGAUCGUCUUGGGGAGGCACCGAGGUCUCCGGAGGAAUGCUACCUGGUUGAUCCUGCCAGUAGU